GAGCAAACGGAGGUGUGAGGUCGCAUCUCAGGUAGAGAGGAGGCUGCACCCGGAGCUUGGUGCUGGAGGAGGAAACACCGAGCAGGAGAGCACAGAUGCAGUGGGCGAGGCUUCUGGAAAACCUUGGCUACCUCAAUGUUCUCUGAAAUGAGAGGCAAUUGGCGUGAAUCCAGAACCGGGUCAGCGAAUCCCUAGGGUCCCACUUUGGCUUGACGUUCACGGAAUUCCCAGAAUAACUAAUACAACAGGAUAAUGUGAAGCCCAAACAGAACAAACUGGAAGACUGAGAAGUACAGUUCCUAAUGGAAAGAAGAAAGGUCCUCUCCAGACAUUGACUGUUCCAACUGAGAAAUGGGAGCUAACCUAUGAGGAUGGAAAGGCACAAGAACGAUACAAUGGACUUUGAGAAAUUGGGGAAAGGGUGAAAGGGGUGAGAGGGAUAAAAGACUACAAAUUGGAUUCAGUGUAUACUGCCCUGGUGAUGGGUGCACGAAAAUCUCACAAAUCACCACUAAAUAACUUACUCAUGUAACCAAAUACCACCUGUUCCCCCAAAAUCUAUGGAAAUAAAAAGUUUUUUUUUUUUUAAAAAAGAAUGCAUUUCAAUGAGACCCAAAACAUCUGGGGGUGUGUAGCAGAGGAAUUUGUACAGAUCAAAUGUCUCAUGUUCUUCCCUUAAAUUUCCCAGCUUUCCUUGCAGUAAUGUUGAGGUCAUGUGACCAAUUCUGGCUAAUGAGCUGUAAAUGCAAGUAAUAUGCAUCACUUCUGGGCUGGAGUAGUUAAGAGCUGAUGGGGCCUCUCCUUAAGUUCCUCAUCCUGCUUCAAUGUUCUUUGAGGCUACAUGCUCCAGAUGAUGCAGCUGUAAGACACACGAGAGAUGAC
rnacentral:lncRNA from 1 species